rnacentral:lncRNA from 1 species
AAUCUGAGUUUGCUUGUACCCCUUUUAUGCUUGAUUUCUAACCGGUUUUUCUAGGCUCUAUUUUGAGAUUUUAUAUGAGAUAUUGGCAUUCAUGUCUUGAUUUCUCUUUGAAACCCAUUUGAGAUCCAUUUUGGACCAUCCCUACAUCUAAGCCCGUUGAUUGGAAUAGGUAAUGUGGCUUUGGUUGCUUUAUAUUUGCUUUAUUCGUUUAUGCUCUCUUUUUUCUUUUUCUUUUUUUUCUUUUUUUUUUU